GUUUAUUUCAAGAGAGUACUCCCCCAUACACAUAUUUCCACAGGUUAUAAACUGAAAAUGACGUCAGCGUUUUCUAAACGUUCUAUCUAUUUCACAAGUAGAGGGGCCCUCUAGCCUUCGCGUUAUCAGCACGAAGUCAAGGCCAGUCAGUAUAAAUCGACAUUCUAGACAGUCUGGAGAUGGGCCGUUCCCGCCACCUGGAGAUUUGUACACUGAAUGAACUAAGGAACAGACCUUCACUGUCACUAAACUCCUGACUACAUUAUAUACAAUUGGGAAUGGGAGCAAGAGAGAAAAUUCACAUGUACAGUACAUUAUAGCAUUUGGACUAGUCAGUUCUGAUUGGAAUGUGUACAUAAUUAGUCAUUUCAACCAUAAUUUCCUCUAACAAGAUUACAGCAUUAUAUCAGGCUAAUCAAGGUGUAGAUUACAGCAUUAUAUCAGGCUAAUCAAGGUGUAGAUUACAGCAUUAUAUCAGGCCAAUCAAGGUGUAGAUUACAGCAUUAUAUCAGGCUAAUCAAGGUGUAGAUUACAGCAUUAUAUCAGGCUAAUCUGGGUGUAGAUUACAGCAUUAUAUCAGGCUAAUCAAGGUGUAGAUUACAGCAUUAUAUCAGGCUAAUCAAGGUGUAGAUUAAUCAAGGUGUAGAUUACAGCAUUAUAUCAGGCUAAUAAAGGUGUAGAUUACAGCAUUAUAUCAGGCUAAUCAAGGUGUAGAUUACAG
ensembl:lncRNA